rnacentral:rRNA from 1 species
UCUGGUUGAUCCUGCCAGAGGUUACUGCUAUCGAGGUUCGACUAAGCCAUGCGAGUCGAAUGUAGCAAUACAUGGCGUACUGCUCAGUAACACGUGGACAACCUGCCCUUAGGUUGGGUAUAAACCCGGGAAACUGGGUAUAAUCCCCUAUAAGUCUCGGCUGCUGGAAUGCACCGAGAUUAAAAGCUCCGGCGCCUAAGGAUGGGUCUGCGGCCUAUCAGGUAGUAGUGGGUGUAGCGUACCUACUAGCCUACGACGGGUACGGGUUGUGAGAGCAAGAGCCCGGAGAUGGAUUCUGAGACACGAAUCCAGGCCCUACGGGGUGCAGCAGGCGCGAAAACUUUACAAUGCUGGCAACAGCGAUAAGGGAACCUCGAGUGCCAGGUUACAAAUCUGGCUGUCGAGAUGCCUAAAAAGCAUUUCAUAGCAAGGGCCGGGCAAGACCGGUGCCAGCCGCCGCGGUAACACCGGCGGCUCGAGUGGUAACCGUUAUUAUUGGGUCUAAAGGGUCUGUAGCCGGCCGGAUAAGUCUCUUGAGAAAUCUGGCAGCUUAACUGUCAGGCUUUCAGGAGAUACUGUCUGGCUCGAGGCCGGGAGAGGUGAGAGGUACUUCAGGGGUAGGGGUGGAAUCUUGUAAUCCUUGAAGGACCACCAGUGGCGAAGGCGUCUCACCAGAACGGACCUGACGGCAAGGGACGAAAGCUAGGGGCACGAACCGGAUUAGAUACCCGGGUAGUCCUAGCCGUAAACGAUACUCGCUAGGUGUCGGCCACGGUGCGACCGUUGUCGGUGCCGUAGGGAAGCCGUGAAGCGAGCCACCUGGGAAGUACGGCCGCAAGGCUGAAACUUAAAGGAAUUGGCGGGGGAGCACCACAACGGGUGGAGCUUGCGGUUUAAUUGGAUUCAACGCCGGAAAUCUUACCGGGACCGACAGCAAUAUGAAGGCCAGGCUGAAGACUUUGCCGGAUUAGCUGAGAGGUGGUGCAUGGCCGUCGUCAGUUCGUACUGUGAAGCAUCCUGUUAAGUCAGGCAACGAGCGAGACCCA